GUAACCUGCGGAGGGAUCAUUACUGAGUUUACGCUCUAUAACCCUUUGUGAACAUACCUAUAACUGUUGCUUCGGCGGGUAGGGUCUCCGUGACCCUCCCGGCCUCCCGCCCCCGGGCGGGUCGGCGCCCGCCGGAGGAUAACCAAACUCUGAAUUAACGACGUUUCUUCUGAGUGGUACAAGCAAAUAAUCAAAACUUUUAACAACGGAUCUCUUGGUUCUGGCAUCGAUGAAGAACGCAGCGAAAUGCGAUAAGUAAUGUGAAUUGCAGAAUUCAGUGAAUCAUCGAAUCUUUGAACGCACAUUGCGCCCGCCAGCAUUCUGGCGGGCAUGCCUGUUCGAGCGUCAUUUCAACCCUCAAGCUCUGCUUGGUGUUGGGGCCCUACAGCUGAUGUAGGCCCUCAAAGGUAGUGGCGGACCCUCCCGGAGCCUCCUUUGCGUAGUAACUUUACGUCUCGCACUGGGAUCCGGAGGGACUCUUGCCGUAAAACCCCCAAUUUCCAAAGGUGACCUCGAUCA
rnacentral:rRNA from 1 species